rnacentral:rRNA from 1 species
UACAGAGGGUGCAAGCGUUAAUCGGAAUUACUGGGCGUAAAGCGCACGUAGGCGGUUUUUUAAGUCAGAUGUGAAAGCCCCGGGCUCAACCUGGGAAUUGCAUUUGAAACUGGGAAACUAGAGUGUGUGAGAGGGGGGUAGAAUUCCAAGUGUAGCGGUGAAAUGCGUAGAGAUUUGGAGGAAUACCAGUGGCGAAGGCGGCCCCCUGGCACAACACUGACGCUCAGGUACGAAAGCGUGGGGAGCAAACAGG